GUAGUAGCUCAGUUGGGUAAGUGCCCGCUUCUCACGCCAGAGAUGCGGGCUCGAAUCCCGUCCCAGAUAUA
rnacentral:tRNA from 1 species